rnacentral:rRNA from 1 species
CAAAAACAUGUCUUUUUGAGUAUAAUAUAAAGUCUAACCUGCCCACUGAUAUUUAUUAAAGGGCCGCGGUAUACUGACUGUGCAAAGGUAGCAUAAUCAUUUGUCUUUUAAUUGAAGGCUGGAAUGAAUGGUUGAAUGAAAUAUUAACUGUCUCAAUUUUAAAAAAAUAAAAAUUUAGCUUUUUAGUUAAAAGGCUAAAAUAAAUUUAGAGGACGAGAAGACCCUAUAGAUCUUUAUAUUAAUUGUAUUAUUAUAAAUUAGAAAAUAAAUUAAUAAUAAUAUUAUUAUUAUUUUGUUGGGGUGACAGGAAAAUUGAAUAAACUUUUCAUAAUUAUUUAACAUAAAUUUAUGAGUUAUUGAUCCAUUUUUAGUGAUUAUAAGAUUAAGUUACCUUAGGGAUAACAGCGUAAUUUUUUUAGAGAGUUCUUAUCGAUAAAAAAGAUUGCGACCUCGAUGUUGAAUUAAAGGUUAUUUCUAGAUGCAGAAGUUUAGAGUUUAGGUCUGUUCGACCUUUAAAUCUUUACAUGAUCUGAG